ACUGCCUCUUUGUCCUCGGCGGAAAUUACGUAGGUCGACCGAGGCGGCGAUAAGCGACGCCUGGCAAAAUUUACCAGGUCAUAAAGCGUCCCGCCGUACACGUAACUGAUUUACGUUCCGUUCUCGCGUAGAAUUCCGAAGCAACGGGUUAUGGUUUCCAGUCUCGGGUAUUAAACCAAGCCAAGUGACGCGGAGUGCGAGAAUGCGCUCCACGUUACGCUGCUCCCAUCGGGCGUCUGCUCUUACUGUUGCCCCAUCGACGUGAAUCGGGACAUACAGUAUCUUUUGUACACCAGGAGGAAUCCAAAUUGCGGAGCAACGUUGAAUAUUUCGGAUCC